UACAGAGGUCUCAAGCGUUGUUCGGAUUCAUUGGGCGUAAAGGGUGCGUAGGCGGCGCGGUAAGUCGGGUGUGAAAUCUCGGAGCUUAACUCCGAACUGCAUUCGAUACUGCCGUGCUUGAGGACUGGAGAGGAGACUGGAAUUUACGGUGUAGCGGUGAAAUGCGUAGAUAUCGUAAGGAAGACCAGUGGCGGAAGGCGGGUCUCUGGACAGUCCUGACGCUGAGGCACGAAGGUCAGGGAGCAAACGGGAUUAGAACCGUACC
rnacentral:rRNA from 1 species